CUUUGUGGUGUUAUAAUCAGGGGCGCGUGAUGGUUAAAUCCUACCAACCUCAUCCCUAGGGGCAUGUGUGGAGUGCUUUGCAUUGGGAGAGCUAAUAAAAUCUUGCAAUAAGUAUGUGAGUUCUUUAUCGCCAUGGCUCCUGCCCUCCGGGAGCCAUGGCACUCAUGGACCAGAGGGGAAACUAUCCUCUCACCUAGGGAG
rnacentral:lncRNA from 1 species